rnacentral:misc_RNA from 1 species
CACGUACUGUGCGAACGUUAUUCGGAAUCACUGGGCUUAAAGGGUGCGUAGGCGGCUUUUCAAGUCAGGUGUGAAAUCCCACGGCUCAACCGUGGAACUGCGCUUGAAACUGAUUAGCUUGAGUGAGACAGGGGUGUGUGGAACUUCUAGUGGAGCGGUGAAAUGUGUUGAUAUUAGAAGGAACACCGGUGGCGAAAGCGACACACUGGGUCUUAACUGACGCUGAGGCACGAAAGCCAGGGUAGCGAACGGG